rnacentral:rRNA from 1 species
GAGUUUUGAUCCCUGGCUCAGAUUGAACGCUGGCGGCAGGCCUAACACAUGCAAGUCGAGCGGUAACAUUUCUAGCUUGCUAGAAGAUGACGAGCGGCGGACGGGUGAGUAAUGCUUGGGAACAUGCCUUGAGGUGGGGGACAACCAUUGGAAACGAUGGCUAAUACCGCAUAAUGUCUACGGACCAAAGGGGGCUUCGGCUCUCGCCUUUAGAUUGGCCCAAGUGGGAUUAGCUAGUUGGUGAGGUAAAGGCUCACCAAGGCGACGAUCCCUAGCUGGUUUGAGAGGAUGAUCAGCCACACUGGAACUGAGACACGGUCCAGACUCCUACGGGAGGCAGCAGUGGGGAAUAUUGCACAAUGGGCGCAAGCCUGAUGCAGCCAUGCCGCGUGUGUGAAGAAGGCCUUCGGGUUGUAAAGCACUUUCAGUCAGGAGGAAAGGUUAGUAGUUAAUACCUGCUAGCUGUGACGUUACUGACAGAAGAAGCACCGGCUAACUCCGUGCCAGCAGCCGCGGUAAUAC